ACCUCAGCACCUUCCUUUCUGUGUUUGCUACCUAGAUACUAGAAACUGUGCAGCUUUGGUGUAUCACACACUGCCCAUCAUCAUGGUACUAUAGGCCUCAAAGCAACAGAGACAAGAUAAAUGAGAAUGAUUAAGAAAUUCACUUUAGAUCCAGUAAUAUUAGUGGACCUGAUGAAGACCCACCAGAGAAUGAAAAUCAAGAGGAGGAAAAGAGGAGGCAACAGAAAAUACAAUCAACAGAUUCUUGAUAUUCAUCCAAGUAAGAAUAGUGGCAUAUUAGCACUCCUUGUGGAGAAGACUGAGGAGAUGAGACACACAGUAUCACCUGGCACCUCUUCUGCCGUCUAACAGAGGGCUGUCUGCAAAAGAAAGCUGUGUAAGAAGACAAAUAAUGCAUGCUUGAGAGACUUGCUAGCUAAGCCAGAAGCCUGUCUUGGGAAGUAGCUGUCCUUCUUAUGAAGCCAUGAGUGCAAGUGAAAUGAUCUAUAUUUUGCUGUCACGGAUUUUGAAAAGAAUGUGUUGACUUUCAAGUUAGAGCAAUAAUGCACAACUUAGAGCAAGUACAUGUAAAGGCUGAGGCACAAGGAAGCCAGAGAUAUUUGAGAUCACAACCACUGGAUUAUAACCACAAUCACUCCACAAUGACACCUGAAGAUCACAAUGAUAAAGGAGUUUCUCUUCAGCGUGGGACAGUCUGUUUCUCCAGGACCAGGGGUCCCCCUUUAUAGGAAAUGUGGAUUUUAAAUAUAUUUAAAAAUUUUAAUUA